GCUUACGGCCAUACCACCCUGUCUGCACCCGAUCUCGUUCUGAUCUUGGAAGCUAAGCAGGGUUGGGCCUGGUUAGUACUUGGAAGGUAGACUGCCUGGGAAUACUAGGUGCUGUAAGCU
rnacentral:rRNA from 1 species